rnacentral:misc_RNA from 1 species
UGGGUUUGACAUACGCCGGAAGCCUCCAGAGAUGGGGGUCUCUUUGAUACCGGUGUACAGGUGGUGCAUGGCUGUCGUCAGCUCGUGUCGUGAGAUGUUGGGUUAAGUCCCGCAACGAGCGCAACCCUCGUUCCAUGUUGCCAGCAUUUGGUUGGGGACUCAUGGGAGACUGCCGGGGUCAACUCGGAGGAAGGUGGGGAUGACGUCCCAGUAUCGGAA